UUAUACUAACAUGCAUCUGUUUUUCGGUAGUUUAUAUCAUAAGAACUUCACAGUUAAACAUGCUUGACUUUGAGUAAUAUAGGGAUGGGUGACCUUCUGGGAAGUUUCUAAAAAUUGUAUAAU
rfam:Cajanus cajan CcLG04_800, whole genome shotgun sequence.